CCCCGCCGCUGCCCGAGGCUGCCGCGCGCUGCCCCAGCCCGCGCCGCCCUGGCCGCGCCCGCCCCGUCCCAUCUCGUUCCAGCGGGGCGCCGCGGUUCCUGGGUCAGCGGCCGCCGGGGCCCGGCUGAGAGGUGCGGAGGGCAGAGCCCGCUGGCGGGUUACCGCCGGGCACCGGAGACCGGAGGGCUGGGGAAAGCGGCGCCGGCCCUGCGCCCCCAGCCGACCCGGGCGCGGGGCGCCACGGGCGUGGGGCGCGGGGCAGCGGGCGCGGGGCGGCGCCGGCCCCGGGCGGCUCUCCCACUAGGGGUAGCUGUUGCCUGAACGCCGGAGCGCUCCCCUCUCGCCGCUUGCCUCGCCCAGCGCAGCCCCGGCCGCUGGGCGCACCCGUCCCGUUCGUCCCCGGACGUUGCUCUCUACCCCGGGAACGUCGAGACUGGAGCGCCCGAACUGAGCCACCUUCGCGGACCCCGAGCGCGGCGGCGCGACUCACCGCGGAGGCGCCCGGACGCGUCAAGUGUCCGAUGGAUCUGAUGGAAAGGUGGCAGGCGAAAUGCACCUGGCCUCAGCACCAAGGGCCGUGAAUGCCGUGGCAGUCGUAGCUAUGUGGUCGGAAUGGACUAGGAUGGUCCUUCCACCAAGAAGGCUGGGCCUUCCUGCUCCUCGUUGUCCAGCUGCAGAAAGUGAUUGGGCUUGACACAACUGCCCCUUCCUCCACACACUCCCAAAUAUACCUACCCCUCCCCAACCCAGUCCUCCUCGCCAGACUGUGGCUCCCGGGUGACAGGGCAGAGUUGGACUCACCUCUGUCUGCCAGGCCAGCUCUCCAUGGGGGCAGGUCCCAAGAGGCCUCUGGAUUUGGACCAACUUCAGUGUGAGCUUGAGCAAGCCCUUAGCCUCCCUCAGCCUCCGUUGCAUGAGGCGUUGUGCUGGUACGUCUCAGAGCAGGUGGCGCUACCUGGUGAGCCUGUUCAUCAGACAGGCUGUCCAUCAGACAGAGCCUGGGUGGCUCUGUCCAUCAUCUUUGUCACUGUAAUGCUGGUUAACAAAUAAACAUGAAACAAUGAGUGGUCAUUUCUCAGGUGCCAUGGAAUCGAUUUAGUGGGUCCAGGGCUCAGCCAGGGCAGGCUCCCUGGUGGGCCCGGCUGGGACGGUGGCCGCUGUGCUCUGCUCCAUACCUCUGAUCUUCUGCAAACUUGCCCAGGCCUGAUCUUGUGGCAACGGCAGAGGCACACGAAGGAAGCAGCACCCACACCUGAGCAGCAGGGAGCCACUUGUGCUGCGUCUACUCACCCUGCAUGGGCUCACGGCAGCCGUGGGUGAGCACUCACAUGGGAGCAGAGGGCCUGGCGAGGCUGCUUGGCCAAGGGUCUGGGUGCAGGGAGACGUGAAGACUAGGGCUCUUUGCAAUCUGCCACAGCGAGUGAGCCAAGGUGUCACCCGGGGACUUCUGAUGGUGAUCACCCACCACCCGGGUACUCCAGCUGGACCAGACCUAGCCCUGUCUUGAGGGAAAGACAGAUCCUUGCCUCAUCUCUUACCACAACCGCACCCAAGGCUGGUGGAGUCCACAGCCGUAGGAAGGCAGCUUCAGGGACAGGGUGGGAGGCUAGAGGCCUCUUGUAUUCCAAAGGGCACAGAUGUAUGGGACAAAGCAGGGAACGACCCAGCAUCCCACUUGGUCAUGUUCCUGCCAGGAGACUUAGGUGCCGUCCGUGGCUUCAUCUCUACCACAGAGACUGGACUUGGGCUUUGUAAAGGUAGCCCCCAGCGCUAUGGUUCAGUCUCUUUGUAGAGAGACAGAGAGUAAGGGUGAGAGUGAGCCAUGGAGAGAAAGAGGGGGCAGGCCUAGUCUCUGCCUCUAAUUAUUUGCCUCUUCCUCUUCUGCAAGUCCCCCUCAGUGGAGGUGGGAUGGAGUGUGCAGGGGUUGAGGACUGGGGGAUGGGUAUGUGAUGUGAACCCUUUUCCAUGGUUCUGAUGGCCUCACCCUGGGAGCCUGGGAGCUGGUCUGUGGGGUAAUUCCGUGGGCAGAAGGGUUGGGGUGGGAGUGGGGGAUCCCUUGGAAGCAGGGCUCUGUAGCCUUGUCUCCCUUCCCUUCCUGGGGGGUGGCUGUUCCUGGGAGGGGCGGGUGGUUGUAUUUGGAACAGGAGCCUGUUACAGUUAAGCAGUUCAAGAUGCUGGAAAUGGAGUUCCCGGGAUGACUGGAAAAUCCAUGCUGCGUUAUUUUUCAGGAGCACAGUGACAGUGGCACUGACUACUCUGCCUGGCAGACAGAAGUAGCAAGGAUGUUUUCAAACUCAUAUUGAGCUUGGUGUGUUUUCACAUGUUAAUCCUGCAGUAGGGAUCUCUGUGCCCUUUGUGGAACUGUGAAAUGAAGUCUCUUUGAGGGGAGCAUGUGUCCAAAGUCCAACUAAG
ensembl:lncRNA